GACGAACGCUGGCGGCGUGCCUAAUACAUGCAAGUAGAACGCUGAAGGAGGAGCUUGCUUCUCUGGAUGAGUUGCGAACGGGUGAGUAACGCGUAGGUAACCUGCCUGGUAGCGGGGGAUAACUAUUGGAAACGAUAGCUAAUACCGCAUAAGAGUAGAUGUUGCAUGACAUUUGCUUAAAAGGUGCAAUUGCAUCACUACCAGAUGGACCUGCGUUGUAUUAGCUAGUUGGUGGGGUAACGGCUCACCAAGGCGACGAUACAUAGCCGACCUGAGAGGGUGAUCGGCCACACUGGGACUGAGACACGGCCCAGACUCCUACGGGAGGCAGCAGUAGGGAAUCUUCGGCAAUGGACGGAAGUCUGACCGAGCAACGCCGCGGGAGUGAAGAAGGGUGUCGGAUCGUAAAGCUCUGUUGUAAGAGAAGAACGAGUGUGAGAGUGGAAAGUUCACACUGUGACGGUAUCUUACCAGAAAGGGACGGCUAACUACGUG
rnacentral:rRNA from 1 species